rnacentral:rRNA from 1 species
AGAGUUUGAUCCUGGCUCAGGACGAACGCUGGCGGCGUGCUUAACACAUGCAAGUCGAACGAGAAUCUGUGGAUCGAGGAUUCGUCCAAGUGAAGCAGAGGACAGUGGCGGACGGGUGAGUAACGCGUGAGGAACCUGCCUUUCAGAGGGGGACAACAGUUGGAAACGACUGCUAAUACCGCAUGAUACAUUUGGGUGGCAUCAUCUGAAUGUCAAAGAUUUAUCGCUGAAAGAUGGCCUCGCGUCUGAUUAGCUAGUUGGUGAGGUAACGGCCCACCAAGGCGACGAUCAGUAGCCGGACUGAGAGGUUGACCGGCCACAUUGGGACUGAGAUACGGCCCAGACUCCUACGGGAGGCAGCAGUGGGGAAUAUUGGGCAAUGGGCGCAAGCCUGACCCAGCAACGCCGCGUGAAGGAAGAAGGCUUUCGGGUUGUAAACUUCUUUUAAGAGGGAAGAGCAGAAGACUGUACCUCUAGAAUAAGCCACGGCUAACUACGUGCCAGCAGCCGCGGUAAUACGUAGGUGGCAAGCGUUGUCCGGAUUUACUGGGUGUAAAGGGCGUGCAGCCGGGAAUGCAAGUCAGAUGUGAAAUCCAUGGGCUUAACCCAUGAACUGCAUUUGAAACUGUAUUUCUUGAGUACUGGAGGAGGCAAUCGGAAUUCCUAGUGUAGCGGUGAAAUGCGUAGAUAUUAGGAGGAACACCAGUGGCGAAGGCGGAUUGCUGGACAGCAACUGACGGUGAGGCGCGAAAGUGUGGGGAGCAAACAGGAUUAGAUACCCUGGUAGUCCACACUGUAAACGAUGAAUACUAGGUGUGGCGGGGACUGACCCCCUGCGUGCCGCAGUUAACAACAAUAAGUAUUCCACCCUGGGAGUACGAUCGCAGGUUGAAACUCAAGAAUUGACGGGGGCCCCCCACAACGGUUGAUUUAUGUGGUUUAAUUCGAAGC